AUUUGGGUGAUGAGGAGUCAUUGUCUGAUAAAUCUUCUGGUUCCGAAAGCUCUUUUUCUGAAGACAAUUCUUCAACGGCUUCGAGUGAAGAUUUAGAUGAAAACCCCACAUCAGAGGAGUGUUGUGGCCCUGAGGGUGUCGCGAAAUAUGAAGGAAAAAACGAAGCGGAAGAAGAAUCUUUGACGAAAACUUGCACGGAUCUUGUUGGUGAAGACCUUAUUAGGCUCGAACCAAAGCCCAAAGUCAAUGAGCAGGAGAGAGGAGGAAGUAGCAGAAAAGAAGAAUGUUUUCCAGGUGAACAUGAGCGAGAUGUUGGUAACUUGUGUAGCAUUGCGCGAGAGUCGCGAAGGCAGAAUAUUCAGCAACAAAAUCCCGGUUGUAACUUUGAUCAGAGUUCAAUUGCUGAGAAGACCAGACGUGCUAAAGAGAGAAGCAAUGAGGAGGAAACAGGCGAUUUGAAUGGAGCUCCCUUAUGGCAGAAACAGAAUAAACCAACUAUUUAACGACAUUAACAG